UACGUAUUUACACAAAAUUACUUACUUAUCUCUUUGUCACAAAUGGUCAUCAAUUUAGAGGGGUUUGUAUAAGUAAGUGUAGGAAGUACAUAUGGGGGGUAUAAGAAAGAUUUUACAAAAUCCCUUUCAAUUGAAUAUAAGGAUAUUGCCGCAAAACGGGAGCUAAAUCCUGUCGUGUCGUUUAAGAGCUACUUCUUCCUUCACUCUUGUCUCUGAGUCAACAAGAUGGAAACAGAAUUAUGUGACGCAGUGGUUCCCAGACCUCAAGUGAAUGCCACAUUUCGUCUCGGCACAGAGUCAUAUUCUGUUCAGGCAACCAAGGGUUCUUCAUUAUCAGAGCAACUGGUUAACAUGAAAGAACAAAGCAUGGCCGUAUUGAAGGAUUUCAUAACAAAGCAUAAUAUUCCUCAAGAUGUUCCAGACGAGUCGUUAGAAGCUUCCUCAGAAGAUGACGAUGAUGUUGCUAUGAAAGCUCAAGUAAAGUCGAAGAAAACUAAGCUUACUUAGCUUUUGAAAUAUGUCUAAAAUGUAUGAGUGGUUUUAUCUCUGUACUGUGUGAUUCUACAAUUAAUUUUUAGUGAGUUUAAUGAAGAGUUUAAUGAAUAUUAUUUGGUGGAUGAUAACACAUAGCAAUAACUUUUUGGAAUUGUGAUUGUGCCUUCAAGUUUAUUUCCUUAGAUGUUCUUCAGUUUAAUUUC